AUGGGGGCGGGAUUUGACUGGGAUGGGGGCAGGACUCGACUGGGAUGGGGUGGAAUUCAACCGGGAUUGGAGUGGGAUUCAACUGGGAUUGGGGUGGGAUUCGAGUGGGAUGGGGGCGGGAUUACAACCGGGAAUGGGGGGAUUGCAGGGAUCCAGGGAGCAAAAAACACCCUUGGGAUUGGGAUCAGGAUCAAGGGGAUUAGGAUUGGGAUGGGGGGGAUUGGGAUCGGGAUUGGGGGGAUAGCAUGGAUCCGAGGAGCAAAACACUCCAUUGGGAUCGGGAUCGGGGGGAUUGGGAUCAGGGGGGUUGGGAUCGGGAGGAUUGGGAUUGGGAUUGGGGUUUGGGAUUGGGAUGGGGGGGUAUCAUGGAUCCGGGGAGCAAAGCACUCCAUUGGGAUCAAGGCCCACGCUCCCGUCGUCUACCCGUUGAUCCAGUGCACCGAUUGCGAGGAUACGGUUAGCUUCGGCUGUUUGGUCACCGACUACUUCCCCCAACCCGUCACCGUCACGUGGAUUUCCAACGUCAAAGGAGACAACGAGACUUUCCCGGUCGUCCAGAGCGGCAACAGUUACUACAGUCUCAGCACCCAACUCACCGUCCCGGUGAGCAGCUUGGAAGGCAACAACUUCCAGUGCAAGGUGGACCACAGCGGCACCACAACCACCGUCACCGAGACCAUCAAGGGUGACAAACUAUGUCCCGACCCGUCCCCGCCGGUGAUAAAACUUCUGGGCGACCCAAAUCAGAGCGACCCUCAGAAAAGGGUCCUACUCAUGUGCCUCAUCGAGGGACCCAAGGCUUCCAGUAGCAACGUGCAGUGGCUGAUGAACCAAGAAGUGAUGGACGUGCAGCAGGAGGACUACGGCUGUGACAAUUGCUCCCCAGAGAAGGCCACAUUUACGAGCAAAGUCAACGUCAGCCGGCAGAGCUGGGACCUGGGGGCUGAGUUCUCUUGCAAAGUGACCCACCCCACGCUGAAAGCACCCGCCGUCCUCAACAUCAGCACGUUCUGCUCAGAUCCCAAACCGAAGGUGGAGGUCACCAUCCUCCCCCCAUCCUUGGAGGACCUCUACCUCAGCCAGAACGCCAGCAUCACCUGCGUGGCCACCAACCUGAAGUCUUACGAAGACGUAAAGUUCUCCUGGAGCCGAGACCAGGGCAGCGCCUUGGAUGUGACCUCGGGGGCAGCAGAGAAGCUGGAGAACGGUCUCUACCGCCUCACCAGCACCCUGAAGAUCUGCGCCGAUGAGUGGAACUCCGGGGAGAAGUUCACCUGCACCGUCAAAAUCCCCGAGAUCGAAGAACCCAUCAUCAGGUCCAUUAAGAAAGACAUAGACGUCUCCGUGAAGCCACCCUCCGUCUACGUCUUCCCCCCACCGGCCGAGGAGUUGGCCCGUCAGGAAACGGCCACCUUGACCUGUCUGGCCUUGGGUUUCCGCCCCCGUGACAUCCUGGUGACCUGGACCCAAGAGGACCGUCCCGUGUCCCCCGGCAGCUUCUCCAUCUUUGGUCCUCAGAAGGAAGGAGACACCUACACGGUCUACAGCAAGUUGAGCGUGCCGGCAGCCGACUGGCAACGGGGCGACUCUUUCGCCUGCGUGGUCGGCCACGACGGCAUCCCCCUGCAUUUCGUGCAGAAGACCAUGGACAAGGCCAUCGGUAAACCCACCUCCGUCAACGUUUCGGUGGUCCUCGCCGACGCCGACGUCACCUGCUACUGAGCUUGGCGGAGGCGGG